ACAUUGGAGGAUGUGAUAUACAAAAACAGGAAAUCCACGAGGCUGUGGAGCUACCCCCUACACAUCAUGAACUAUACAAACAAAUUGGUAUUGAUCCUCCCCAUGGUGUUUUACUGUAUGGACCCCCUGGCACUGGUAAAACAAUGCUUGCCAAAGCUGUUGUGAAUCAUACCACUGCUGCCUUCAUCAGGGUUGUGGGAUCUGAGUUUGUGCAGAAGUAUGUUGGUGAGGGUCCACGAAUGAAACAACUUUGUUGAGAUCUAAUGCUACCCUUUUCUCUGAUGGCGAUCAUCACCAAUCACAAAUGUUGAGCUUCUCUUCUCCAAAGUCAGAGUCUUUGUUGGUAGAUAAGGCUUCCUUAAAUGCCACAUUGCCUUUUUCUUACCACCAAUUGUCUAGCAACAACAGAAAUGCAGGUUACAGUUCAGGAAGCAUAAGCUUGCAUGGGGCUUUGGCUGGUGUGAGAGGGCCAUUCACUCCGUCACAGUGGAUGGAGCUUGAACAUUUUGUUAAUUUAGUUGUUGAACAAUUAUUUAGUUAUUAAUAUUCAGCUUUUUUGUUUUGUUAAUUUUACUAUUCUCACCAUUAUCUAGUUAUUAAUAUUUAGUUUUUUAUGCUUCAACACUA